GGUAUUGUGGCUGAGUGGUCUAAGGUGCUGGCUUAAGGCUCCAGUCUCUUCUCAGGUAUGGGUUCGAAUCCCACCACUGCCA